rnacentral:rRNA from 1 species
CACGCCGUAAACGAUGAAUACUAAGUGUUGGAGAAAUUCAGUGCUGCAGUUAACGCAAUAAGUAUUCCGCCUGGGGAGUACGCACGCAAGUGUGAAACUCAAAGGAAUUGACGGGGACCCGCACAAGCGGUGGAUUAUGUGGUUUAAUUCGAUGCAACGCGAAGAACCUUACCAAGCCUUGACAUCCGAGGCGAAGCUCUGGAGACAGAGUGGAGGCUAUCCGAAGGACAGGUGG